CACUUCAGAGUCCUACACAGUCAAGGAGCUGUGCAGACUGCUGCAAGACAGGCUCUGGAUAGCACAACACGGACAACUUUCCCCGUUGUGAUUUCCUGAGAGGAUCUGUUCGUUUGGAUUAUAUUCUUUUAGGACUAUUAAAUACUAUCAUAGAAAAAAAAAAAAAAGCCGUGCGUCUUAACACUAAUUCUAAUACUGCCCAGAAGAAGGGGAGCUGCGUUUCUUGUUUGAUAUGUAAGAAAACUGGGCUGAAGUUUGAAGCCUGUUUGUUAGAGGGUGAAGGACAAGUGCAAUGCGUGUCUGACUUGUCUCUUGGGAUUGUCCCACUUGCGCCUGAGGAGCUAUGUCGUACUGCCGCACAGAGCUUGUUCAAGAGGACGCAGUCCAAUGUGAAUAACAAGAGUCAACUUCCAGCCUCUUCAGCUUUUCACACUUACAAGCAAGUGCAGCACGGAGUCUUGACUGAGCCCGUUGAGCAGCUCUGACACCCCGGUUUCUCUCCCUCGAGGGGAUGGUUGUGGAUCCUCUGGGGCCAGGAGCGACUCUGCGGCUCCUACAGAAUAGCACAUUUUUCUUGUUUGGGGUUAAUUCUAAAUUAAAGGGAAAUGAGAGCCGCACUUUGCUACUUCCUGCUGUGGACGGCGUACCUGCUGCUGGCCACCGCUGAGGAAGUGGAGUUUCCCCAGGAGCUGAUAGACAGACUGUCCCACAGCGAAAUCCACAGCAUCAGCGACCUCCAGCGGUUACUGGAGAUUGACUCCGUAGGUACGGGAAACGAUGUUAUCGAGGAGCCCAAGCACCACAAACACCACAACCACCAUAAGAACUACUCCCGUCAUCAUGGUCACUACAGUGACCUAAAGAGCUCCCAGCUCCACAGCCGACGCAAGAGGAGUAUCGUGGAGGAGGCGGUCCCGGCGGUGUGUAAGACACGGACGGUGAUCUACGAGAUCCCCAGGAGCCAGGUGGAUCCCACAUCUGCCAACUUCCUGAUAUGGCCUCCCUGUGUGGAGGUGAAGCGCUGCACAGGCUGCUGCAACACCAGCAACAUGCGCUGUCACCCUUCCCGCAAGCAUCACCGCACCGUUAAGGUGGCCAAGGUGGAGUAUGUGAGGAGGAGACCCAAACUGAAAGAGGUCUUUGUACGGUUAGAAGACCACCUGGAGUGUGUGUGCACGUCACAACAUCAUGCGGUGGAGCAAUCAGAACCAGAAACAGGCCACCGUAGGGCUAAAGGUAAAAAAAGGAAACCUAAAAAGCUAAGGCCCAGCAAGGAUUUAUUGGCGACAUAAUAAAGUUGCACUCAUUACCCAAAGUCCACUGGAGAGCUGUGAAGGGAACAGUGGACGUGAGGUGAGACCAAUUCGAGCAAGGGACUUCAGUGUGGGAGGGACCUAAGUAGAGGAUGUCACCAACAGGAGACCUGCUCUUUCCUCUUCCCCACCGCCGUGCAACCUUCCUUUAAAAAACACAAACAUUUCUGUAAAGAUGAGAGACUGAAAAAUAGACAACAGACAAAAUAAAUAAGAUGCCAAAGGUGCUUUUUUAAAAAAACAAACAAACAAAAAAACCCAGAAAACAAUAACCAGUGAUGACGACUUCCUCUGUGGUACGCCACCUACCCAGACAACUGAACCCUGCCGCUUAUUAAGAAGAAAAGAGUAAUAUGCUGUGGAGCAUGAGCAGGGCAGAAAGAGGCUGAAGGGAGAUGAUGAAAGGGAUUUGUGUUGAACAUUUUGACAGACUUUGUUUGAACAAGACGCACAACAGAAAUGGCUAUGAAACAGUUUUCGUGGGAAUCUGGUGCUCAGACUCCAAAACAGCGGUGUAUGACCUCCAGCUGGGCAACAUAAAAGUUCCCUGUCCUGACUAAAUGACUCUUGCAUACACAGGAAGAAAGAAAGAGAGACACAGGAAAAUAAUGGAAAACGCUGGAGUUAUGGAGGUGUUUUGUUUUUUUUGAAAGACUCUAUAGAGCAUCAAACAUUUUGAGUUUUUGGAUGUUUUGCUCUGAGUAAAGAGGAAAUCUUCUCUGAGACCCCUGCUGGUCUGUGACUUUGCCCACCUGCUAUGUACAGUUAAAUCUGAAAUGGAUGCACCGCUACUUACAAACUAUUUAUACAUGUGGAUGUUUGCUUUCUGUCUCUUCCAGUACAAAAGAAAGAAAGAACAAAAAAGAUGUUUUUAUGAUUUGGAGACCUUCAAGAGUCGUGUGUGGUCUGGUUCAUUGUAACCAUCAGUAUCACAAUCUCAAUGUCAUUUUUUUAGUCGUUACUCUUGUCAUCCAUGUUUCUUAUUAUAUUACAGUAUAUCUGAAUGAUGUCAAGUCUUGUAUAUGGUUUGGAUAUAUGUGUGCAAGGAGGAGAUGUGAGAGUCAGUACAGGAAGAUGCUUUAUUUUUGUUAUGAAAUAUAUCAUGCUUACUUAUAUCCAAGCAGGAAUUAUGUUUAAUUCUUUUGUUGUGGUUGAAUGCCUGUAUUUAAUCCAUUGGGAAAGGUGGGAGGGAGUGGAAUGGAUAAGGGAAAAAAGGCUGCCAGUGCUUUUAAAUGUGUGUGCAUUAGUGCGUCAAGGCUGUGAAAAGGUGGGACAGACUGGCUCAAACAUGGCAACUUCAGAGAGAGUGGCUAUACUGUGGCUUCCUCCACUGCCAUGAUGAGCUCUACCAAAACCUUUAUGUAACAAGUGAUGUUUCACACAAACGUACAAAAAACACAUUAGAGUGUGUGCAUGCCAAUCCCAUAAACACACAAAAAUGUUAGAGCAACUCUAGUGUGCAAGCAUGCAUGUCCAAGGUGGGAUAGACAGGGUGUGUGUGUGCUCACACACGAUUUCUCUGCUACAUGAGGCUAUUUCUCAUCCAUAUCACUGUAACGCUGAUAAGGAAGAUGCCCGCCCGGUCCGCUUCACAAACACACAUGUUGUGCCUGCCAAGAGCAAAGUCCACCUUAAAGAGUGAAUGAGCGAGCAAAGCAAAUCGACAAGUGCAUGAAUGGGCUCCUUGUUUAGCCAGUCUUUACUCCUGUGUUGACAGGAGAACAAAUCUCUGAUCGCUCCACCCUUUGAAGGGACACACACCUUAUGCAGCCACAUACCAUCAGGACAGAUGAUGGGUGCUCUGAGGUGGCCUGAAACCAGCACAGUGCUGCCUUAAACCUGUGAUCCUGAUGGAGUCAACAAUUACUUCCUUACCAGUUCCUGUAAAUGUGAUGAAUGUGUAACCAGGCUAACAUGGUGCAGAAAACAACGCUUGUCUUCCACCCUGUGUUCAAAAGAGGAAGUUUGACAGAGAUUUUUUUUUACAGCAGUCAGAGGCAAAACAGUGAGUCACUGUGAGGUGAGUCAAGUGAAAGUUGAAAGAGAAAAGUUUGACUGAACCAUGGGUGUAUCAGCUCCUGCUGAGCUGUGAACAUCAGAUCUUACACACACAAACACACACACACAGUCCAUCUGUGAAUUAAAUAACCAUCAGUUAACUGGUGCUAUAUUUAUAAGGCUGAUGUUUCAUCACUGUUCACAUCAAUGUAAGAUUGUGUUCUCAGUAAACCAGGGACCACGCUUAAAGCUAUUUGAUGAAAGAAAAUGCCAUUACGCUAUCACUACUCUAUCACUAAGCCUUCGCUACUUUUCUUUUGGGCUUCCAUUGGAUAAAUACAGCAGUAAUCAUAAUUUAUAUAUUUAUGUUUUCAACAAUAAAUAUAUUUCUGCUUAUGAAA